UACAGAGGGUGCGAGCGUUAAUCGGAAUUACUGGGCGUAAAGCGCACGUAGUCGGCUUUGCAAGUCGGGUGUGAAAUCCCCCGGGCUCAACCUGGGAACUGCAUUCGAUACUGCCGAGCUAGAGUGUGGGAGAGGGUAGUGGAAUUCCCGGUGUAGCGGUGAAAUGCGUAGAUAUCGGGAGGAACAUCAGUGGCGAAGGCGACUGCCUGGCCCAACACUGACGCUGAGGUGCGAAAGCGUGGGUAGCAAACAGG
rnacentral:rRNA from 1 species